rnacentral:ncRNA from 18 species
UCCCCCGUACGCGACUGGCGAUAGGCGCGGCGCCCCGAGCGGGCAGCCCGCGCUGACGUGGGACACCACUGGGAAGCGUACCGCGAGGGAAAGCGGCUCGAGCCGCGCGCGAUGGCGCCACGGCGCCGCCCCUUCCCCCGCGAUCCGCCGUUCGCCUGGGCAGCCCUU